rnacentral:rRNA from 1 species
UACGUAGGGUGCGAGCGUUGUCCGGAAUUAUUGGGCGUAAAGGGCUCGUAGGCGGUUUGUCGCGUCGGGAGUGAAACUCAGGGCUUAACCCUGAGCCUGCUUCCGAUACGGGCAGACUAGAGGUAUGCAGGGAGAAUGGAAUUCCUGGUGUAGCGGUGAAAUGCGCAGAUAUCAGGAGGAACACCGGCGGCGAAGGCGGUUCUCUGGGCAUUACCUGACGCUGAGGAGCGAAAGUGUGGGGAGCGAACAGG